rnacentral:lncRNA from 1 species
CUGGAGGAGACGAUUCAGCCCAAAGGUGUCACCAGCCCCCCCCAGGUGAUCAAGAAAAGGGCAGAAAUAAGGGACAGAGUCUCCCACUGAUGCCAAAAUUUCCUCAAAAGCUGCAAUCCAACUAUGUCUGAGGGUAAACCCAGAGUUCUUCCUGCCCCUCUGCGUGCCCUGGCUGUUUCUUCAGGAGAACCUCAACCUGUGUGCAGGGAGAGCCCCAGGAUUCCUCUGGGCUGAUGACAGAGUGACCUGGACUACAAGACACCAUGGAUUGCACUGUGGUGCUGAACAGACAUGUCGCAAAUCCCUGAGAGAGACUCCUUGAGACAGUGAACUGUCUGACCUAAGGUCAAUGCCACAUUACAAAGGAUGUGAGUUACUCAUGUCUUUGUAGGGAAGAAAGAAAAGACAGGGAGCAAUGCACACUGGAAGCUCUUUCCAUGAAAUUUAGCACUUAAUAGACAAGAAAAAUGCAUAAUUUAAGAUUUACUUAAGGUGAAUUUUUUUUCAUUUUAGUUUCAAAAAAUAUAUAUUGUUCUUUUGGUUGGCA